AGGCAAGCGCAAAGUACAUCGGGAAAGGAACGCACAAUAUGAUGGCGGAUUGAUCUUACUCUGAAUAUUUGUUUGUACGACUGUGCCAAGAAUUAAUCAUAAUGUGCGGACGAGCAGGUUCAGAUUGAACCGGGGUGAACGUGGACGUUGAAUGUUUAAGGUUCGUAGUAAAAGCGAGCAAAGCUCAACGCGCCCAUCAGGCCGAUUAAAGCCUCUCCCUGUCCCCGCGCCUUAAAGCCCUCGCGUGGCUGACGAGCCGGGCCGGGCGCUGGGCCAGGCCGCGCGCUACGCCAGACCGUGUUGCUCUGGCAUCUCUCACGGCCACCUAUACCGACUCGGAGGGCGAGGACGGGGUGGAAGACGAGCGCCUGCAGGAGGAGAAUUCGAACACUCCCGCUAAGGGGGCCGCCCCGCAUAAUGCCCAAGUCGGU
rnacentral:misc_RNA from 1 species